GUCCACGCCCUAAACGAUGCUCACUAGGUGUUGGGGAAGCGAUUCCUUGGUACCGUAGCUAACGCGUGAAGUGAGCCGCCUGGGGAGUACGGCCGCAAGGUUAAAACUCAAAGGAAUUGACGGGGACCCGCACAAGCGGUGGAUGAUGUGGAUUAAUUCGAUGCAACGCGAACAACCUUACCUACCCUUGACAUGUCCGAGAGCCUGCUGAAAGGUGGGUGUGCCCGAAAGGGAAUCGGAACACAGGUGCUGCAUGGCUGUCGU
rnacentral:rRNA from 1 species